UCACCGGGGGCGACAGCAAUAUGAAGGUCAGGCUGAAGACCUUACCCGAUUAGCUGAGAGGUGGUGCAUGGCCGUCGUCAGUUCGUACUGUGAAGCAUCCUGUUAAGUCAGGCAACGAGCGAGACCCACGUCCACAGUUGCCAGCAUACCCUCCGGGGUGGUGGGGUACACUGUGGAGACCGCCGCUGCUAAAGCGGAGGAAGGAGUGGGCAACGGUAGGUCAGUAUGCCCCGAAUCUCCCGGGCUACACGCGGGCUACAAUGGUUGGUACAAUGGGCAUCUACCCCGAAAGGGGAAGGAAAUCUCUUAAAGCCAAUCGUAGUUCGGAUUGAGGGCUGCAACUCGCCCUCAUGAAGCUGGAAUCCGUAGUAAUCGCGUUUCAACAGAACGCGGUGAAUACGUCCCUGCUCCUU
rnacentral:rRNA from 1 species